GGUGGGUGAAGCAACAUUGUUGGGACCCGAGUUGGUACGUAUGACUACGAAAAAGAUCCAAAUGAUUCGACAACGUAUACAAACGGCACAAGAUCGACAAAAGAGUUAUGCGGAUCUUCAUCGAAAGGACGUGAAAUUUAGUAUUGGGGAUCAUGUAUUGUUGCGUGUUGCCCCCAUGGAAGGGAUUUACAAGAUUCGGGAAGAGAGGAAAGCUCAAUCCACGAUUUAUU
rnacentral:lncRNA from 1 species